UUUCACACAGGUGUUGCAUGGCUGUCGUCAGCUCGUGUCGUGAGAUGUUGGUUAAGUCCCGCAACGAGCGUAACCUCAUCCUUAGUUGCCAUCAGCUAAUGCUGAGCACUUUAAGGAAACUGCUAGUGAUAAACUGGAGGAAGGUGGGGAUGAUGUCAAGUCAUCAUGGCCCUUAUGGAGUGGGCUACACACGUGCUACAAUGGUGGCUACAAUGGGCUGCAAAGUCGCGAGGCCAAGCUAAUCCCUUAAAAGCCAUCUCAGUUCGGAUUGUACUCUGCAACUCGAGUGCAUGAAGUUGGAAUCGCUAGUAAUCGUGGAUCAGCAUGCCACGGUGAAUACGUUCUCGGGUCUUGUACACACUGCCCGUCACGCCAUGGGAAUUGGUUUCACUCGAAGCUAAUGACCUAACCGCAAGGAGGGAGUUAUUUAAAGUGGGAUCAGUGACUGGGGUGAAGUCGUAACAAGGUAGGCGUAGUGCU
rnacentral:rRNA from 1 species